AUUGAACGCUGGCGGCAGGCUUAACACAUGCAAGUCGAACGAGUGGCGGCAGGGUGAGUAAUGUUUGGGACUCUAGCUUCUGGAGGGGGAUAACUACGGGAAACUGUUGCUAAUACCGCGUACCAUAGGAUGAGCCCUAGUGGGAUUAGGUAGUUGGUGAGGGAAAGGCUCACCAAGCCGACGAUCUCUAGCUGGUCUGAGAGGAUGACCAGCCACACUGGAACUGAGACACGGCCCAGACUCCUACGGGAGGCAGCAGUGGGGAAUAUGGCGCAAUGGGGGCAACCUGACGCAGCCAGGCCGCGUGAAUGAAGAAGGCCUUCGGGUUGUAAAGUUCUUUCGGUAGCGAGGCGUUAACUACAGAAGAAGCACCGGCUAACUCCGUGCCAGCAGCCGCGGUAAUUC
rnacentral:rRNA from 1 species